rnacentral:rRNA from 1 species
AGCAGCCGCGGUAAUUCCAGCUCCAAUAGCGUAUAUUAAAGUUGUUGCAGUUAAAAAGCUCGUAGUUGAAUUUCGGGAUUGACACAUCGGUCGUGCCUUAAGGGGUAUGAACUGGUGUAGUCAAUUUCUCACCUUCUGGAGAACCGCGAUGCCCUUAAUUGGGUGUCGCGAGGAACCAGGACCUUUACUUUAGAAAAAUUAGAGUGUUUAAAGCAGGCAUUUUGCUUGAAUACAUUAGCAUGGAAUAAUAAAAUAGGACGGCAUGAUUCUAUUUUGUGUUUUAGGAUCACCGUAAUGAUUAAUAGGGAUAGUUGGGGGCAUUAGUAUUCAAUUGUCAGAGGUGAAAUUCUUGGAUUUAUUGAAGACUAACUACUAGCGAAAGCAUUUGCCAAGGUAUGUUUUACAUUAAUCAAAGAACGAAAGUUAGGGGAUCGAAGACGAUCAGAUACCGUCGUAGUCUUAAACCAUAAACUAUGCCGACUAGGAAUCAGACGAUUGUUAAUUUUUAAUGACUCG